rnacentral:lncRNA from 10 species
CCAAGUUCAGCUGUAUGCGGUCACCCUGAGAUUCCUUCCUACUUGAUUAUUUCUCACAGACUUAACCAAGAAAAUAUCGUUCUGGAAGAUUGCUAGGCAGGCUUUUCCAUUGCAUUGCAGGACAACUCAGAUAAUGCAGGUCCAGUCCUCUGAGUCAUCCAGUGUGGGCUGGAGGUUUGGAACCUGGAAAUGUCUGAUCUAGGCAAGUAAUAAGCUGACGUCAAAAGACUUGGUGCACAGGUCUAUUGAAGCACCUAAGAGGAAAGACACUUCUUCAAACCUCAAAUGCUCUUUACAUCCAGCAAAUCUGGACUGGAAGUCGUUCAAUAAGAUGACUUCCCAUGAAAUGUCUGGUACUUCAUGUUUCCCGUCAGGUCAUAAAUGCCACGAGAACAGCUUUUCCUCCUCCAUUUAAAUUUGUCCAGUGCCAGUUUUGGUCUUGUCCCAAAGCCAAAAACUUUGGAGACAUUGACAGAAAAGAAAGUAAUUAACCAUAUUGGAAGAGCCCAGAGAGUUCUGUGUAGAUUCUGCUGUAGAUGCUGAGUGUACUUUGUCUACUUAUUGAAAAAAGAAAAAAAAGUGAACUGUAAAACAGCCUCAAGCAGGUCCUUCAGGAGGUAUCCAGAAGAAGGCAUUGUCAUAGGAGAUGACAGCUCCAUGCGUGUUAUUGCUCCUGAAGACCUUCCAGGAGUAGGUGCAGAGGAAUCCAAGGUGUAGGGAAUGAAAGAGCCACAAGAUGUAAGAAACCUCAGUUCCUCAAUGUAGACAUGGAAGAAAGCUUCCGGGAGCAGGCUCACUGGAUUUGGUCACAUAAUGAUCACAGAAUAAACUCUUGUGGUAAGCCUCUGAAUUUGGGAUGUUUUGUUAAAACAACUAGAUGACCCUAACAGUUUUCACCAAGGUCAGUAAUCGACUGAUUUAAGUGUUUCAAAAAAUCUUUAAACAAAUUCAAUUGUUGCUUUUAAUUUUAUAGAUAAGGAAAUCAAAGUCUUGGAAACUCAAUUACUUUCUCAGAUAAAUGCAAACAGCUGGUAGCAGAGCCAAAGACAGAUACCUGGGCUCGUGUCUUCUAUUCCAGCUCACUUUCUUCUUUGUUGAUGAUAAAUUUUAAAGGACAAACUUGCUGUGAAUAUUUAUUUAUGCCAUGCUUUUGGAAGUACUGUUAGGCAGAGAACUACAAAAACAUUUCAUUCUUAAAAAUCCUAAUAGAACUAAGCUGG